GAUGAAGAACGUAGCGAAAUGCGAUAAGUAAUGUGAAUUGCAGAAUUCAGUGAAUCAUCGAAUCUUUGAACGCACAUUGCGCCCAUUAGUAUUCUAGUGGGCAUGCCUGUUCGAGCGUCAUUAAGUCCACUUAAGCCCUGCUUAGUGUUGGGAGACUGCUCCAGCGGUGCUACCCUGUAGCUGCCCUGCAGCUUCUCAAAGACAGCGGCGGAGUUGUGGUAUCCUCUGAGCUUAGUAACUUGUUCUAGCUUUCGAGUACACCACUUCCCCUGCCGUAAAACCCUUAAUUUUUAAUGGUUGACCUCGGAUCAGGUAGGAAUACCCGCUGAACUUAAGCAUAUCAAUAAGCGGAGGA
rnacentral:misc_RNA from 1 species